CGGGCUGAACCAGCAACUUGGAGGAAUGAAAAGGCAAUAGCUAAAUGCAUUAUUUUUAUAGUAAUGUAGUAUCGACCCUGUUGAAUAAAAUUCUAGAUAGAGUUAUGAUAAUGACAUUAUCUAUCUAUGUGUCUUGACCAAAUUACGUGCCAGCAGUCGCGGUAAUACGUAAAAGACUAGUGUUAUUCAUCAUUAAUAGGUUUAAAGAGUACCUAGACGGUAAAUAAAGCCCCAAAAGGGUACAUAUUAACUAGAGUUAUAUGAAAGGGGGCAUGGAGGUACUGUUGAGUGUAGAGAUGAAAUUCUUUGAUACCAGAUGAGUGGCACGGGUCUAUGCGAAGGCAUCUCCUUAUGUAAUAACUGACGUUGAAGGACGAAGGCUUUUGAAGUGAACAGGAUUAGAUACCCUAGUAAUCUAAGCAGAAAAUGAUGAAUGUCAUAGGUUGAAUAAAAUAU
rnacentral:rRNA from 1 species